AAUCGAGGGAGAGCAGCCAUAAGAGAUAGAUGGGGAGGCAGCGGAGCAGGGUUUGCAACGCAGGUUCAUGGCGGCCUUGUUGCGCCAAUAGUUAUUGUUGUGUCCAGAGGGGCUCAUUGUCACUUCAAAUCCAGAGAAGUCUAAAUCUUCACUAAAACCUGACAGUGAGACUUAAUCUUAUGGCUAAUCUCCCUAAUCUCCAACAUCAGCCUCCUCAUUCUUCUUUUCUAUCAGAUUAUUUCCAAUUUCUCUAAACCCCAAUUCUCUAUUUUUUAUGUUUUACCCAAUUUUUCUUUAAUGUUGAAGCUUGUUUGAUAAUGUUGUUAAUUUCUGAUUUUUGCAGCUGAUAUGUUUGUUGGAUUUGGAGGCUGAUUACAUGAAUCCCUUUGAAACGUAGGUAAAUAUCAAUAAUUGUGAUAUGGGUUAAGUUAUGUUUAUAUGUUUAUUGAUUUUGCUUUUACAUUGAGAAUUUGAGUUGAAAACUUCCCAAUAUUUGUUUUGAAUUUGUGACCUAUGUCAAGAGUAAAGUUUUAUGAUAACAGAACUAGAAAAGUUCUGAACAUUGUCUAUUAUAUAAUGUUAAGAUAGUGUAAAUGACCACAACCUAGGAAAAGGAAUUGUUCUUGUUGUCUUCAGUUUAUUGUUUGCAUAAAUGGCCAAAUUAUAAAUAUUAUGACAUUUGAUUUCAUUGGUUCCCUACUGUUGUUUCGCAGAUUUCUUGUUUGAGCUUACCCUGAACUAUUUUACUCAUCAACCCAAUAGAGCCAGAGUUUUAAAGGAAAGAUAGCUUUUUAUCUUAUCUUAUUUAUUUUCUUAUAAUAUUCUGCGAACGUUUAUUCCAUAAUCAAAUAAUUGAUUAACUAUCUCCUUUUUAUAAGUAAAUGUGCUAUGGAGGCCGUGCCGGCCAAUGUUCUAAAUGUUGCAACUUCUGUAUCUAUAUACUCUAAUGUUACUAACUUGCUAUACAUGCAGUGAAACUUUCAUGGGAGGAUUGUAAUGGAGACCUGAAAUAACUACUCAUUUGUGUCAUACUCCCCUUAUAUCUCCUAUUAGCCAAUAAAUGUACUUUAACUAAUUAGUAGGCUGGUCAAGUGUUGAUGAUGGAAUCUCAUUUGCUAAUAUAGGUCGAUGAUGGAAUCUCAUUUGCUAAUCUCAUUUAUGUCAUUUUGUGGUGAUAAUCAAGUACUCCUUAAUACUCACUACUGAGGUCAAGAUCAGUGUUGGAAGUGCUAAGGUGAAGUGAAGACUAUGACGUCAUUGCAGUUGGAAAGAAGUACACUGAUUGAAGGGGUGUCUUCAAAAUAUUGGCUGGUAAACGCUGUAGCUAUUAUAGCGUUCUUACCAUUCAUUUCUGAAGAUUGCUGGUUAGGAUUGUCCAUUUGGAAGAUACAAAAAGUACUUUUUUUAUUGGGUUUAUUUAGGUGAAUUGGAACGGGA